GGGCGAUUAGCUCAGAUGGUUAGAGCGUUACAUUGACAUUGUAAAGGUCGGAGGUUCGAUUCCCCCAUCGCCCACAA
rnacentral:tRNA from 11 species